rnacentral:rRNA from 1 species
AACGCUGGCGGCGUGCUUAACACAUGCAAGUCGAACGGAAAGGCCCUGCUUUUGUGGGGUGCUCGAGUGGCGAACGGGUGAGUAACACGUGAGUAACCUGCCCUUGACUUUGGGAUAACUUCAGGAAACUGGGGCUAAUACCGGAUAGGAGCUCCUGCUGCAUGGUGGGGGUUGGAAAGUUUCGGCGGUUGGGGAUGGACUCGCGGCUUAUCAGCUUGUUGGUGGGGUAGUGGCUUACCAAGGCUUUGACGGGUAGCCGGCCUGAGAGGGUGACCGGCCACAUUGGGACUGAGAUACGGCCCAGACUCCUACGGGAGGCAGCAGUGGGGAAUAUUGCACAAUGGGCGGAAGCCCGAUGCAGCAACGCCGCGUGCGGGAUGACGGCCUUCGGGUUGUAAACCGCUUUCGCCUGUGACGAAGCGUGAGUGACGGUAAUGGGUAAAGAAGCACCGGCUAACUACGUG